rnacentral:rRNA from 1 species
GCGCAGCAGGCGCGAAAACUUUACAAUGUGCGAAAGCACGAUAAGGGAACUCUGAGUGCCUCCUAAGGAGGCUGUUCUGAUGUCUAAAAAGCAACAGAAGUAAGGGCUGGGUAAGACCGGUGCCAGCCGCCGCGGUAACACCGGCAGCCCAAGUGGUAGCCACGUUUAUUGGGUCUAAAGCGUUCGUAGCCGGCCAGGUAAGUUCCUUGGUAAAUUUAGCCGCUUAACGGUUAAGCUUUCGGGGAAUACUGCUUGGCUUGGGACUGGGGAGAGGUCAGAGGUACUCCGGGGGUAGGGGUGAAAUCUAUUAAUCCCUGGGGGACCACCGGUAGCGAAGGCGUCUGACCAGACCAGGUCCGACGGUGAGGGACGAAGGCUAGGGGCGCGAACCGGAUUAGAUACCCGGGUAGU